UGCAAUACUAUCUAGGCACAAACUCUGCCUUCCCAGGCUAUAAUCCUAAACUCCAUUGUCAUAACAAAGCAAGCUGCCCAUGAAGGAGCAUGGGACCACAUACUUACAUCUUAAGAAAGAAAAUCAGGAGGAUUAGAAACAUCUCCACACAGAGAAAAGGAACAGGUGGCUUCCCAUACCUACUAUCCCCACCUAGUCAAGAACCCUGGGUCAAGGUACAGAAGAACAUGGCAGAUGGCCCAGAAAGGAUUUGGAAUAGGGAGCCAACAAGCUCAGAAUCACAAAGGAUACACAGAGGAAGUAGAGACUCAGG
rnacentral:lncRNA from 1 species